GAAGCAGUUGUGGCCGCGGCGGCGCGCGCUGCGAGACAGGAUUGAUUCCCGCGGCCAGCUGCGCGCAACCCAAGGGAAGAGUCGCUUGCCUCUGGGAGUCUCCGGGAUCGCGCUGGAUUAGUGGCAAGAGGCGCGACCGCCGGUGGGGCGAAGGCCCCGAGGCCCCGGCGGCCUCGAGGUGGCUUGUCUGGGCUAGCGGGGCCUGCCCAGCCCCUCCGCCCCCAGUACCCGGGCUGGAAAUGUGAAUUCAAGGCUGCACCCGCCCUGGUCACCUCUAACUGCCAGGGUGACAGUUCCAAAGUUGCUUGAUGGUACCUCCAUUUGCCAAAUCCAACCAGAAGCCAGAAGGUGAGAGAGCCUGGAUGAUGCAGUCCACCAAAGCGAGACUCCCCAGGUCGUAGGCAUCGCAGGGCAGUGUGGACAAGAGAUAAGGAGCAGAAGGCGGAGCGUACUCAGCACUUUUGGAUUAUAAGCAGGAUAAAGGUGCUAAGAAUGUGUGAGGAGGAUUACUGCUGGUGAAAGGGAAACAUUGGUGUUGCACAACAGCCAUAUGAAAUAAAAUCCUACCUGUGCUCAAUGAUGUCUGAUUUUGCAACUAGGGGGUAUACAGUUGACCCUUGAACAAAACAGGCAUUACGGGUGCCACCCUGCGUGAAGUCAAAAACCCAAGGAUACCUUUACAGUCAGCUGUUGUAUCUGCAGUUUCUGCAGCCUCGAACACAGCCAACCAUUGCUAGUGUAGUAUUGCAGUAUAAACUGACAAGAGUCUGAGUACAAGUGGACCCAUGCAGUUCAAACCAGUGUUGCUCAAGAGUCAAUUGCAACUCUAAAGAAAAGCUCUUGUUUAAAAUACUCAUACCAAAAAAAUAAAGCCCUGCCUCUUCACCAUCUCCUCACCUACGGUCACUGACAUAAUAACUAUUUUUUUGUGAUUUAAAUAAAACAUAGUGUAAAUUCACCCUCAGCAAUUUA